rnacentral:rRNA from 2 species
UACAGAGGUGGCAAGCGUUGUUCGGAAUUACUGGGCGUAAAGGGCGCGUAGGCGGCCAUCUAAGUCAGACGUGAAAUCCCCCGGCUUAACCUGGGAACUGCGUCUGAUACUGGACGGCUCGAGUUUGGGAGAGGGAUGCAGAAUUCCAGGUGUAGCGGUGAAAUGCGUAGAUAUCUGGAGGAAUACCGGUGGCGAAGGCGGCAUCCUGGACUAAUACUGACGCUGAGGCGCGAAAGCUAGGGGAGCAAACGGG